UGCUACAUGUUCUCUUUCCCCGUACCGCUGACGUCACCUAAUAGGGGUGGGACAGGUGGGCGGUUGCGAUCAGGCAGGUGUAAAGGCACCCGGGGUCCUCAUGCCGGUAAGGCACACGGGGUCCUCAUGCCGGUAGCAGCAGUGUCUAGAGGUGUGGGUCGCAGCGCAAGGUAUGUCUUAACUACCUCAUUGGGGAAUUAUGAUAGUUACUUGGCCAGUGCACUACGGGGGAUUUAAUUGUGUUUCUGUUGGGCUAGUGAUCGUUGAGUGCUCGCCGACGGUGACACUGUCUGUGCGAGUGACGAGCCUGGGUCUGCGUUCAGCGAUCCCGAUGGGAGAAGGAACAAGACGCUACCGGCAAUCCGAGUGUUGGCUGCUGUUCUCGUGAUUGGGGUGAAUGAGAUACGUGUGCAGGUGCUGCUUUUAGGACGCGUUUUGUAUUUCUGUUCGUUUGGUUGUUUGCUUCAUGUGUUCUUUUUUGUUUCUUUCUUUCCCCCUAGUCGGUGGACUCUGAGAUUUGUGCUGGUAGACUAAUUGUGACCACCGGCUAGCGGGCCCCCCCCCUUGUUUUUGUUUUAUGUACUAAUGGGCGUCCUAUUGUACUGACGACCUACAGCGACUAACUUUUAAUUAAAUGAGAAUAAAGAAUAUAUUUUUAUACCUGUAA